rnacentral:lncRNA from 1 species
UUUGUUUGUUUGUUUUUUAAAGAGCAUUUUUUCCUUUUAGGUAGAGCCACCGACCAAACGGUGGCUGCCCGCCGGGUGGGAACGGAGCGGGGCAGCCGCGGCGGGGGGAGAAGGCGUUUGCUGCUUUUUGAGUUUUCUGGUUUUUAAAAAAUAAGGGGGAAGAAAAACCUUACCCCAGGACUGGGGGCCGCCGCCGAGCCCUGCCUGGGGCCCUUUUCUUUUGGCGGAGCGGCGCCAGGCCAGGCGGGGACGGGGAGAGAGGGGCGGCAAAAGGGGGCUUGGGCCACGCAGAAACGUAGCUGGAAGAGCGUAGAGGGAAAGGAAGGGAGGUGUAGGAUGGAAACCAACUUACGAUUAUGCAGAUUAAUGCCUUGAUUUUUUUUUUUUUAGCUUUUUUUGUUGUUUUUUACGUUCCGUCUUCCGAGUCGGGUUUAGUUUUUUUAUCACUAGAGCUGUAUAGUUUGGGUGAAUAACGAGUAAUUUAGUUUCCUAUUUAACUAGGCUUACAGUUAACCGGUUUUCUUCGAUAUUUAUUUCCUUGCUUAAUUUUUUUUUUUUUUUACGAUUGCCAGUAUAUUUUUAUUUUUUUCCCUUUCGUUGCCGAGGAACCCGUGUAGAGCUUCGCUGGCGUUGCGCGAUGUAGCUACCCGAGAAACACAGAGAAGCGAGCACACUCGAAGUGCACCCUUUUAACCUUUACUAGUCAUUGUGAAGUCGCUGUGAACAAUUGCAAGCGAAUAUUCAGGCUCCUCCUUCGUUCCCUUCUGCCCCUCUACCACCUAAAAUUACCAACCGGGGAAAAGGGAAGGGAAUCGUCCUCAUCAGUUUUCACCAGGAAGCGGGCACGGGAAGCUUUUUGGAGUUCUUCAUUCCCGAGACGAACGCCAGGCGCGUGCCCUGCCCCGGGUGUAGAGCAGCUCUGCGCACCGAGAAGCGAAAGGCAGGCGGAGAUGUGGAAGCGCUUUUCUAGCGCCGCCUGAAAGGCGAGUUGUUUCUUUUCUUUUUUUUGACGUGGCAUGUCUUGAAAUAAACAUCGACGAUGUGUGACCAAGGAUCAUUCUUUAUUUAAAAGAAACUCUCGAGGGGAAGGAAACCUGGCUACUUUUCCUGUAUCGUGCUGUUCCUAACUGUGCGAAAACCAUCCAUCUCGCUGCUUUUUUUUUCCACGUUGGUCCUUCCGUUGCUUCCCACGACCACUUCCAUUUUUUUUGGGGGGGCUCUGGCCUAACCCAAACCCGACGUUUCCUCGCAGCUCUGA